UAGCCUAAUUAAUAUAAUUAUUUUCAUAAAUAAAUUUUAAUAAAAUUAUUUAAUUUUAAUUUUGAACCAUGCCCAAUUUUGUCAGAGUUGGUCUAGCUUAGAUAAAGAACUUGACAAAACGAAUUUUUCCAAAAUUGAUUCCGCUAAUUUGGUAACCUUGUGGACAUCAACAAUUAGUAAAAAUUUCUACCUUGUCAACUGAUUUCACCCCCUCAGCACUUCACGCCAUUUUUAUGAUUUAUCAAUUUGUUUUGAAGUCCUCGUGCUUAUCGCCUCGUGCUGUAAAAAUAUAAAGAAAGUAUAAAAAAACAUUAGUAUGUCUCAUUGUUGUGUUAAAUCUUGUGGACACAAUAAAAAUAAAUAUUCGUGCCGCUAUCAUCGAUUCCCAAGUGAUCCAAAAACUUGCGCUGCGUGGGUUCAAGUAGUAGGAGAAGAAGAUUUUCUAUAUCUCAAUAACGAAAUAUUGCACAAGAAAAAAUAUGUAUGCAGUUGCCAUUUCGUUGAUGAAAAUUAUAGUUCAUCAUUAAAAAUGCAUUUGAAGUCUGCAGUUGUUCCAUCUAUUUUUAAUGAAAAGACGGUCUCUAUUAGUGACGAGGAUAUGAAGACAUUCUUAUCUCCGCAAAUGAUUGUUCCAACGACUUGUCAGUGUUAAAAAAUUAAAAAAAAUUUGGAAAAUCCAAAAGUGCACGCCUCGAACGCUCAUGUUAUGUUUUUUUUUAAAAGUUAAAUUUCGAAUAAAAUUGAAUAUCCCGCUCUUUUCCCAUAGAAAUUUUCAUGGUAAAUAUACGGUAAUAAAAGUAAAAAAAAAAAAAAUAAGGAGAACAUUCCUAAUGAAAAAUGGCGGCAGUGUGUGUUUGUUUACAUGUAAGAUAGCCGGUUUUAACCGUAAUGAUUUAUUUUAAAAAAAACGAGAAGGCCUACAGUAGUGAUUUUCGAAAGGAACCUUCUUUGCUUAUUUCUAAAAACUUUGAAAAAAAAAUUAAGUAGUUUCGUCAAGUCGUUCUCGAGAUAUCCGUACCACGCCGUUUUUUUGAACCACAGACUAAUGCGCGUCCACGAUAAAUUUUUUUUAAUGAACUUUUUUUUAUAUUAAUACAUAUUAGACAAAUUAAAAAAAGUAUCAGGAUUAUUUACUAGUGUUUCAGCUUUAUAUUGAUGUGCUUUUCAUAAUGUGUAAGAGUAAUAGAAAAAAAAUAUAUGCACUUUGAUGAGUGGAAAUCGUGUGACCUUGACAGCUGUUGUUACGCCAUUGAGUAAUAUCAAAAAUUUACACAUCGUGGAAUAUCAACCUGAAACUAAGAAAAGAAAAUCGACAGAUUUAUAUGCAACUGAGGAAAUUCCAAUAAAAAGAACACGUCAAUCAGUGAAAAUUGAGGAAGGAUCGAAGAAACGGGUCAUGAGGUGUACGGCAAUAAAUAGUAUGACAGAAUGUAAAUCCGUUAAUACAGUACAGAUCCUAAAAAGUAAGCAGCCACUUAUUUUGAAGCCAUGUUCACUAAUAAAAAUUUUGGAUGAAAAUUUGAAAGCUAUGAAUUUCUCAUCCGCGCAAGAAUUAAUUUUAAACAUAGAAUUGUUAUUAAAUAAUCAUAAAAAUCAAAUUAAGGUCAAGCAGUUGGAAGCUGCUAAUGCAGGAAAAAUUGAAGAGUUGAGCGCAAAAGCUAAGUAAUUGCAUUUCAAGAGUAGUAAUUGAUUAACAGCCACAAUUGAUUACGCAGCCACAGUUCCAGUUUAAAACUGGGUAUACAUUAUCAAAGAUUCUUGCGUUACAAUGUCAAUUUAUUGAUUGAUUUGUUUAAAUGUAAAAUAAUUUUUAGAAAUUGUUUAUAGACCGAAGUUUACGUUUCAAAAAAACGACGUUUAAAAGCUCAGAUUUUAAAGCUUAAACAAAAGCUAAAAUAAUAUAUCUAUGUUAUAAUGAAAAUGUUUUAAAAACUGAAAAUUUUGUAAUAUUUAUGUUCAGAGCUUAUAUCAGUACGAACCGAAAUGUACUAGUCAACUUCCUUAGUUUUUGUACUAUAAAAGAAAUUAUAAUAAUUUUAUUAAUACAUUUUAAGGUAAUGUGAUAAUUUUACAUUUAAAUGCCAAAAAUUAUUAAAGCAAUAAUUUAAGUAUAAAGUCUGAUUAUUUGUGAUAAUCUGAUAAUAAAUUAUAUUUUUAUAUUUAUAUACUCUAUAUUACGAGUUUAAAAAUGUUUUAAAAUGUGAU